rnacentral:rRNA from 1 species
CGAAAGGCUCAUUAAAUCAGUUAUGGUUCCUUAGAUCGUACCCACAUUUACUUGGAUAACUGUGGUAAUUCUAGAGCUAAUACAUGCAAACAGAGUUCCGACCGGAGACGGAAGGAGCGCUUUUAUUAGAUCAAAACCGAUCGGCGGCGGGCGUUAACGCGUCCGUCGUCGUACGCUAUGGCGAAUCUGAAUAACUUUAUGCCGAUCGCACGGUCUCGCACCGGCGACGCAUCUUUCAAAUGUCUGCCUUAUCAACUGUCGAUGGUAGGUUCUGUGCCUACCAUGGUCGUAACGGGUAACGGGGAAUCAGGGUUCGAUUCCGGAGAGGGAGCCUGAGAAACGGCUACCACAUCCAAGGAAGGCAGCAGGCGCGCAAAUUACCCACUCCCGGCACGGGGAGGUAGUGACGAAAAAUAACGAUACGGGACUCAUCCGAGGCCCCGUAAUCGGAAUGAGUACACUCUAA